rnacentral:rRNA from 1 species
GAUGAACGCUGGCGGCGUGCCUAAUACAUGCAAGUCGAGCGAACGUACGAGAAGCUUGCUUCUCUGAUGUUAGCGGCGGACGGGUGAGUAACACGUGGAUAACUUACCUAUAAGACUGGGAUAACUUCGGGAAACCGGAGCUAAUACCGGAUAAUAUUUUGAACCGCAUGGUUCAAAAGUGAAAGACGGUCUUGCUGUCACUUAUAGAUGGAUCCGCGCUGCAUUAGCUAGUUGGUAAGGUAACGGCUUACCAAGGCAACGAUGCAUAGCCGACCUGAGAGGGUGAUCGGCCACCCUGGAACUGAGACACGGUCCAGACUCCUACGGGAGGCAGCAGUAGGGAAUCUUCCGCAAUGGGCGAAAGCCUGACGGAGCAACGCCGCGUGAGUGAUGAAGGUCUUCGGAUCGUAAAACUCUGUUAUUAGGGAAGAAGAUAUGUGUAAGUAACUGUGCACAUCUUGACGGUACCUAAUCAGAAAGCCACGGCUAACUACGUG